GAUGCUCCUUCAAACCUAUGAUAGAGUCUAAUGGAUCCUUGCUCCAUCCCUAAACAGAAGGGCUAGUUGGGAUCCAAGCCAUGGUACUAAAUUACAAUAUUGUGUCAUUCUCUGUACUACUUGCUCUGCCUUCUUUUUUAAAUGGUACAACACUUGGUAUUUUAUUUUCUCUUUUUCAGAGUCCCUAGUUUGCUGAUUGGCUAAUCAUAGUCAAAUCAGGAAGGCAAAACUAAAAUUAGCUGACAAUCUGAACAACAAAAGGUUCAAGCUUUACAAGGCAACAUACUUGGAUUAAGAUACUUCUCUCCAACCUCCCCCAAAAUGCAUACAUACCGUAUUGGAGAUAUGAGCACAAAAUGUCAAAUUUCUUUUAGUUAUUCAAGUGGCCCAUUUGCAGAAGCUGGGGACAGCUAGUCAAUAUGGUAAGAAAUCAGACUCUCAUGUUCUGAGAAAUGCAGUCAGGUGCCACAAAUGUUUGGCCAUUCUGUAUACAUACAUACCUAAAGCACAAAAAGAAAUAAAAGCAGAUUGGGAACAUUUAUAUAAGGAUGCUGAAACUGACAGUUUUAUUAUUCCUGUUGAGAGCCAUGCUAAGUUUCAAUGUGAUGUUUCACCCGGUCUCUUUAUGGGGAAGAUUUAUGUUCUCUAUAGCUUUCAGCUCCCAGAAUUUUCUGAUAGGCUAAGAGCAUUCACUGCUACACCAAAAAAUACUACAGAUAAUACCUGAGCAAACAAAUAAUUUAUUACACACAAACCUUUGGCUCACGAAGGUCACUUCUUCAGGUACAAGCCGAAGCCCUCCAUAUUAUCAGAAUUUAUCUAGCUUGUCUUUUCCACCUAGAAGGCAUGAAUACAAAUGCAAAGGGGAGAAAGAUCAUGACCCGGGGGGGCUUCAGAGUUUAAUAAGGACUAUUGUUCUAAGAGCUGUUGACAACUCACUGCAAAUUUGUCAAAUGCUGUUUCUGUAGUGAAGAAACAAGGGGAAUAUGGCAGGGAGAAAUGCAGUGCAGGUUCACUGAGAGAACAUGGGGCCUAUGCAGAAGCAGAAUGAGUGGAAACAUAAUCUCUCCUCCUUCCACUGCAUCAGUUCACCACCUCUAAUAUGCUGAACUAUAUUAACUUCUGCGCUUGAGUUUGAUCUUGCUCUGAAGAGGGUUGUGCUUUCCAGCAUCUCCAUAAUCUAUUCUUAAGUGCCAUGCAGUUAGUUGGGAAGGAGGAAGAAGAAUUCUGGACAAACUGUAGGGACCUUCCUUGCUUUGUGUCAGUUGUAACAGUUCUUGGUCAUUGCAAAGCGUUUCCACCGCUGCUGCUUCUCCCAGUCCAGCAGGUUGAUUCAUACGUCUGCCAUAGAUGUAUGGAAAAAAGAACCACAUGCUUCAUCUCAUGCUGGGGAUAGCUCAGUUGGUAGAGCAUAAGACUUCUAAUCUCAGGGUCAUGGGUUUGGGCCCCACAUUGGGCAAAAGAUUCCUGCAUUGCAGGUAGUUGGGCUAGAUGACCCUCAUGGUCCCUUCCAACUCUACAAUUCUAUGAUUUUAUGCUUAUGGUUCCUUCGCAUUGACAUUACUGGAAUGUAAAGUGAAGUAUGAAUGUAAGGUAAGAUCAGCCACCCAGAAAUUCUUCCCAUAAUCACAAUGACUGAGAAGGGUGCUGCUCUAAUUGCAGAAAAUGUGGGAACACUCCAGCAUCAUCCUCAAAGGUCCCAAAUCAUAGACCAUGCAGCACACAUUAAUGUGUAUCCUAAGAAGCUUGAGAAAUAAUUGCAUGGAUGAUUAUGGUGAGUCUGUGAACUGGUCAUCUCUACCACUAAAAUAUCAUGUGGGAAAAAGCUGCUCAAUACUUUUCCUUGUCUGUUAAUCACAUUAUCCUGAAUACUUGCACUAUAAUUUAUUUCUCGUUCAUUUUUUUGUCUUCUUAACUUUGUUUCCUUUUUUUAUUAUUUUUACAAAACCUUACCUACUCAUAACAUUUAGGUUGCAGUUCUAUACACGUUCACCUAGGAAUAAGCUUCAUUGGAUCAAUGGGACAUUCCUGUGAGUAGACAUCUAUAAGUUUGUGCUGUUAGAUUCCCUAUACACUCUCAGCGCAUUGGACAAUCAGAAGAGAGGCCUCAUAAUAUGGAGCAUUGGUCAAUGUUCAAUGGUCAGGGAUGAUGAAGAUGUAGCCAAUGUUAUCUGGAGAGAACCACAUUGCCUAGCCCAAGUUUAUGGGACAGAGAAAAAGAAACUCAACUGUACUGGCAUGCAUUACAGCUUUCUUUUCCUUGUUUAGAGUUGGUACAAGUGUUGCUGCCCCAAGUUAGUCACUAUAACUGAUUAUUCAUGCAAGUGAACAGUAUAAAAUCUCAAGUGAUGAGCUACCAAGCACUCCCUGGUGUUUCAAUGACUAGAAACACUGCAAAAUGCUUUCCCGCCCUCCUGUUGAGAGAAGCAGCCAGUGUGACCAUUCAUGUGUCUCUUUUUCAGAUGCAAAUUCGUACACAGAAAGCCAAGUGGAAAAUCUUUCCAAAUAUCAGCACAUGCUCUUAAGAUAGGCACAGAACACAUGGUGGUGCUUCAGAACUCUUCCAUUCUUCUUCAGGGCAGCAUUAUGUCUGCAUCCAGAUGGCUGGACUGUGUGUCACUUCUAUAAAAAUGCUUGUGAGGUGACCAAAGUAAACUAAGAACAUACGAAGGCCCAUCGAGUCCAGCAUCCUGUUCUGACAGCGACCAGAAACCCGCAAGCAGAACCUAAGUGCAACAACACUCCUAUGAUUCCUUCCUGCCUUCUGAUUCCUACAAUCUGUGGCGUGCAACUGGGACCAGAAGCUAUAUAAAGGAGACAAAGGUUAAACAGCUGCUUUUCAUUACUACAAAAUCUCAUUGAUCUCCAUUGACAGUUUGGUUCAUUAGGCCUCCAGAAGCUCUUUUAUUAUAACGACAAUGCUGAAAUCAAUCCUUGAACAUGACCCAGCUGCACUCACCUGACAUAAAAUCACAUUCUUAAUCAGGAUCCCAAGAGGCACAAUUACUUACCUCAAGACUACUCCCAUGCAUAAGCCAAACAAAAUUCAAAACAGAAACAAAUAUUUCCUAUGAGGUAUUAGGGCUUCCCUCACUCUGUGCUCUAUAAUAUUGAACAAGGAAUUUAUCUAUCCAUAGAACUCCAUGAUAUGACUUUAAGAAAUCACAAUACAGGCAAGGUUGGUAGCGUUUCGUGAUAUUGCUUGCAUGGAAUUUCACACACGAUGUGAAAUUCUUAUGCACCAUUAGGCAACUCGUGCAUUAACCUGAGAAACAGCAAAAGAGCCAUUUAAAAAAAAAUAAUGCAAAGGGCUGUAGACAAUGUGAGUCUUAGUCGGAGAAGACCCAUUAAAAGUAAUAGGCAUGGCUAACUUAGAACAAUUGAUUUCAAUGGGUCUACUUUGAGUAGAUGUUAGUUGGCUAACUUCGUAAUGAUGCGCUUGAAAACAGUCAUUUACUGGGAAGCAUUCAAUUGAAUAUCAGUGGAUGGGCUCCCACCAGCACAAUGGGACUUUCUCUCCCCGCCGUAUCCCCCUGUGCCUCCCCAAAAUUCAGGCUAGAACAGCACAUGGCCAUAAGACAUGAGGAAUCAUCCAUCUGCUGAGCAGGAGUGCUGAUGAAACAAUCAGUGGAGUGCAACACACCUAUUACAAAUGUCUUCCGAAUUUGACUUGACUUGACUUUCCGACUUGAGUUGAAAGGAUUUUUAAAAAAAGAAUAUCUAAAUUGAGUAAAGCGUAACAAAACAGGGGAGGGGAGAUUAUAUGAUCUCAGGGCCGUCUUAAGUAUAUCUGGCGCCGUGGUGCAGAGAUCCCUCUGGUGCCCCCCCUCCAUUUCCCAGAGUUGCCAACCUUUUUACGGCACUGCCGGCAGCUUCGUGGGGGUGGAGGAGGCAGGCAGCGGUGCUGCUUCAGCGAGGUGGGCGAGGGCAGCAAACUGAUGCAGGGAGGCGCCACGCCACGCCAUGCCCAGCCUCCACCUCUUCCCUGGUGCCCUCCAGAACUUGGCACCCUGGCGCCCCGUGCCACUUGCUUCUAUGGGCAAGACACCCCUGUAUGAUCUGCCUGGUGCUUCAUAAGGUGUCAGGAAGUUCCCAGUACUUCAGGUUUGUUAUGCUAUGAUUCAAGCCGCAUUUGAGAGAAAGCCCUGUUAAGUAGAACUCAUCUAUGCUCAUGUCCCAAUUUAGUGGAAAACACUACCCAUUCCCUUAAACCAGUCCAACAAAGAGAUUGGAUAUAACAUAUUGAGAAAUUAGCUGUGAGAGUUACAUCUGCUUGUGUUAAUGGAUUUUUAUGCCUGGAGCCAUGUUGCUACCCUCUUAGGAAAAUUGCUGAACAAAAGCAUAUUUUUGUUAUUAAAACUGAAGAAAAAAGUUUGGGCUUGUUUUUGUUUUUAAUAUAUCCUAGUUUGAUUCAGACCAAGUGUACCAAAAGUCUUCAACAGAUGUUCAUUAAAUUUUGGUGCAGGGUUUAUUUAUUUUUCACAAAAUGUGCAUAAUCUUCAGUAUAGUGCAGGAUGCAGAAGGAAUUUUUUUCUCAUAAUAGAGAAGUUUGAAAUUUGCCCUGGGAAUAUUGUAUAACUUGUUCAUUCUCUUAGCAUUUCUCCCAAUUCUUUCAAAUGAUUAUUCUAAGCACAGACACGGAAAUUUUGCUCCCAAAUUUCACAGUGGCCGAAAUUUGGUGAGGACUUAGAGAUGCACAAAACCUCUAAGUGAAAUGUUGUUAAAUCUACUAAAAAAUUUAUAUAUAUUUUUAUUGCUUGUUUGUACCCCGCACAUCUGGCUGGGUUGUCCCAGCCACUCUGGGCAGCUUCUAGCAUAUACAAAAACAGAAUAAAACAUUAAACCUUAAAAAGCUUCACUAUUCAGGGCUGUCUUCAGAUGUUUCCUGAAUGUUAUAUAAUUACUUUCCUUUCCAUGGUUCUAAACAGGACCCUCCAAAUUCACUUUAAAUUUAACAUAAGGAGCUAUUUGUUGUGGGAUGGGGACUCUAAUUCAGAGCAAUGGGAGUGGAAAUCCAAAUAAAAUAUGUAUCCAAUGAUGUACAACCAUACAGUGAUUCUCUCCCAAGCAGUGGCUUGCAAUCUACUAAUUAGCAGUUGUUGUUGUUUAGUCGUUUAGUCGUGUCCGACUCUUCGUGAACCCAUGGACCAGAGCACGCCCGGCACUCCUGUCUUCCACUGCCUCCCGCAGUUUGUUCAAACUCAUGCUGGUAGCUUCGAGAACACUGUCCAACCAUCUCGUCCUCUGUCAUCCCUUUCUCCUUCUGCCCUCAAUCUUUCCCAACAUCAGGGUCUUUUCCAGAGAGUCUUCUCUUCUCAUGAGGUGGCCAAAGUAUUGGAGCCUCAGCUUCACGAUCUGUCCUUCCAGUGAGCACUCAGGGCUGAUUUCCUUAAGAAUGGAUAGGUUUGAUUAGCAGUAGAAAAACCUAUUCAGGUAAGGUCUUGAGGAUGCUGAACAAUGAAGCAGAAAAGACUAAUGGGUUAGGUCUGUUAAUGCUUAGAUUUGCUGCUAAUGCAGCUAACAUCAAGUGCUAAACCAUUAUUGCAUGUUGUUUGAGGAUUUUCUAGCCCAGUGGCUAGAUUUGUUGGAUUUGAAUGCUGAUGAAGGAGUGGAGGGACCAGGAUCAGAUUCCUGCUCAGUCAUGAGUAAGUCACUGGCUCUCAGCCUAACAUACCCAUACUGUGCUGAAUUCUGUGAAGGAAAAAUGGAAUGUAAAUGUAUGGGGGGGGUGUUGUUGUUUUUUAAGGCUGGGGGGGCAGCUAGCAGUCAUCAUCAGCACAAUAACAGUGGCAUGGGCUAUAUGAUAUGAAAAAGGCAGGUUAUUUUAUGUUAAAAUCACUGAAAGAGGGGGUUGCUUUGGAACAUGACAUUGGGGAGAGAGAGCCUUGAUCAUUCCUUCAGCAAUAAUAAUAAUAAUAAUAGCCCUUCAAGCUUCUGUGCUCCGGGAGGCCGGAGGAACUUGAAGGUACAAUACUUAAGAAAAAUGUGUAGUCAUGCUUUAAGUUUAGGAGCGGAACAACUUGUUCCUAUAAUGACCAUGAAAUAACUUGUGAAAGUGGCGUCAGACCAUUUCUUCAGUCUAAAAUGGUGGUGGUAAUGCAGGCUCUUGGGUCUCUUGAAGCUAAAGCGCCUUGUGUUUUCAGUGCUCCAGGCUCUUGGGUUUUAGAUGUGAGGGUGAUCUGGCUGUGACAUCUGUCACCCCAUUGAUCACCAGGGUUGAUUCAGCUGAUCUGGCUGGCUAGGCGGGUGUCCCCUCCCUCCCUCACCGCUCCAUGUACAUCCCUCACGAAGCUGUGUGCACGGUGGAAUAGGACAACCGUCCCAGAUAGGAGUGUACUGUUCUUCGGUCAAGGGUAUACAAUAGCUGUGCUCCCCUGCUAGAACCUCCAAACAAGCUCAAGGUCCAUUUGUAGGCUCUUGGGUCUUUCCCAAGAUAUUUUACUUGAGGUCCUGGCAGCUGAGUCUGGGUCCUUAUACAUGAUCCUCAAGGUCCAGGGACCUGCCCAAUGCUCUGCUUUCUACUGCAUAUUUUUGCUUGCGCUCCUCCACUUAUUCAAACACACCAAUGUUCAUUUUGACCUUCUCCCUUGGUUCAUAUUUUCUUUAUCAUCUUUCCUUUUUAAAAAAUUACUUUUCCCUACUAUGGAACAGUAGGAAAAUCUGGCCCAAGAGGAACAAGCAUUUGCACCCAUGAAAUUAAUUAGCCAUUGUUAGGCUUUUUUGCAGAGAAGUCCUCGGAGCACACUUGUUACAUUAAUUGCUCUCCACACUGGCAAAACUCGUGUAAUCUGAUUUUUCUAUUAUUUCCCAGGUGUGCCGCAUUGUCAGAGAGCUCUCAGCAACAAAAUAUGCAGAAAUCGCUUGAAGUAAUUCUAAAGGACAGCAGUGCAAGAGAAAAACACUGAAGACAAAUGUGCCAUUGUUUGUUAUCUUAGGUAUGAAUGUACAGUUUCAAACCAACAAUACUAAAGGACAGCAUCUGUUUAACAUUCA